rnacentral:rRNA from 1 species
UAACACAUGCAAGUCGAACGGUAACAGGAAACAGCUUGCUGUUUCGCUGACGAGUGGCGGACGGGUGAGUAAUGUCUGGGAAACUGCCCGAUGGAGGGGGAUAACUACUGGAAACGGUAGCUAAUACCGCAUAACGUCGCAAGACCAAAGAGGGGGACCUUCGGGCCUCUUGCCAUCGGAUGUGCCCAGAUGGGAUUAGCUAGUAGGUGGGGUAACGGCUCACCUAGGCGACGAUCCCUAGCUGGUCUGAGAGGAUGACCAGCCACACUGGAACUGAGACACGGUCCAGACUCCUACGGGAGGCAGCAGUGGGGAAUAUUGCACAAUGGGCGCAAGCCUGAUGCAGCCAUGCCGCGUGUAUGAAGAAGGCCUUCGGGUUGUAAAGUACUUUCAGCGGGGAGGAAGGGAGUAAAGUUAAUACCUUUGCUCAUUGACGUUACCCGCAGAAGAAGCACCGGCUAACUCCGUGCCAGCAGCCGCGGUAAUACGGAGGGUGCAAGCGUUAAUCGGAAUUACUGGGCGUAAAGCGCACGCAGGCGGUUUGUUAAGUCAGAUGUGAAAUCCCCGGGCUCAACCUGGGAACUGCAUCUGAUACUGGCAAGCUUGAGUCUCGUAGAGGGGGGUAGAAUUCCAGGUGUAGCGGUGAAAUGCGUAGAGAUCUGGAGGAAUACCGGUGGCGAAGGCGGCCCCCUGGACGAAGACUGACGCUCAGGUGCGAAAGCGUGGGGAGCAAACAGGAUUAGAUACCCUGGUAGUCCACGCCGUAAACGAUGUCGACUUGGAGGUUGUGCCCUUGAGGCGUGGCUUCCGGAGCUAACGCGUUAAGUCGACCGCCUGGGGAGUACGGCCGCAAGGUUAAAACUCAAAUGAAUUGACGGGGGCCCGCACAAGCGGUGGAGCAUGUGGUUUAAUUCGAUGCAACGCGAAGAACCUUACCUGGUCUUGACAUCCACGGAAGUUUUCAGAGAUGAGAAUGUGCCUUCGGGAACCGUGAGACAGGUGCUGCAUGGCUGUCGUCAGCUCGUGUUGUGAAAUGUUGGGUUAAGUCCCGCAACGAGCGCAACCCUUAUCCUUUGUUGCCAGCGGUCCGGCCGGGAACUCAAAGGAGACUGCCAGUGAUGAACUGGAGGAAGGUGGGGAAGACGUCAAGUCAUCAUGGCCCUUACGACCAGGGCUACACACGUGCUACAAUGGCGCAUACAAAGAGAAGCGACCUCGCGAGAGCAAGCGGACCUCAUAAAGUGCGUCGUAGUCCGGAUUGGAGUCUGCAACUCGACUCCAUGAAGUCGGAAUCGCUAGUAAUCGUGGAUCAGAAUGCCACGGUGAAUACGUUCCCGGGCCUUGUACACACCGCCCGUCACACCAUGGGAGUGGGUUGCAAAAGAAGUAGGUAGCUUAACCUUCGGGAGGGCGCUUACCACUUUGUGAUUCAUGACUGGGGUGAAGU